rnacentral:rRNA from 1 species
GACGAGCGCUGGCGGCGUGCUUAACACAUGCAAGUCGAACGGGCGGAUUUGGUAGCUUGCUAUCAUUGAAGCUAGUGGCAAACGGGUGAGUAACGCGUAGGCAACCUGCCCCUUGGAUGGGGACAACAUUCCCGAAAGGGAUGCUAAUACCGAAUGAUGUAUGAUUUUCGCAUGGGAGUCAUACCAAAGGCCGAGCAAUCGGUCACCAGGAGAUGGGCCUGCGUCUGAUUAGUUAGUUGGUGGGGCAACGGCCUACCAAGGCGACGAUCAGUAGCCGGUCUGAGAGGAUGAACGGCCACAUUGGGACUGAGACACGGCCCAGACUCCUACGGGAGGCAGCAGUGGGGGAAUCUUCCGCAAUGGGCGAAAGCCUGACGGAGCAACGCCGCGUGAGUGAAGAAGGUCUUCGGAUCGUAAAGCUCUGUUNAAGGGGACGCACGGCGCCUGCUACAAGAUAGCAGGUGAAUGACGGU